CCUACGGGUGGCAGCAGUGAGGACUAUUGGUCAAUGGACGAGAGUCUGAACCAGCCAAGUAGCGUGAAGGAUGACUGCCCUAUGGGUUGUAAACUUCUUUUAUAUGGGAAUAAAAUGUUCCACGUGUGGGAUUUUGUAUGUACCAUAUGAAUAAGGAUCGGCUAACUCCGUGCCAGCAGCCGCGGUAAUACGGAGGAUCCGAGCGUUAUCCGGAUUUAUUGGGUUUAAAGGGAGCGUAGGUGGAUUGUUAAGUCAGUUGUGAAAGUUUGCGGCUCAACCGUAAAAUUGCAGUUGAAACUGGCAGUCUUGAGUACAGUAGAGGUGGGCGGAAUUCGUGGUGUAGCGGUGAAAUGCUUAGAUAUCACGAAGAACUCCGAUUGCGAAGGCAGUUCACUGGACUGCAACUGACACUGAGGCUCGAAAGUGUGGGUAUCAAACAGGAUUAGAUACCCGUGUAGUC
rnacentral:rRNA from 1 species